AUUGAGGGUGCCUCCUAGGCACGAUGCUGAGCUCUUUUAAAGGGUUCCUCGGGUGCAAUGCCGAGGUCUUUUAUUGAACGUGCCUCAGGCACGAUACCGAGGUCUUUUAGAGGGUGGCACAGACUUGCCCUUAUACGUUUCCUGGAAGUGAUACCCGACAGUGAAGUUUGUCUGCGUCGUGCCCCCUUGCCGUAAUGAAG
rnacentral:lncRNA from 1 species